rnacentral:piRNA from 1 species
UGCUGUGCUGCUUCCUACAAAUUCUUCAAC